rnacentral:rRNA from 1 species
GAUCCAGACUCCUACGGGAGGCAGCAGUGGGGAAUAUUGCACAAUGGGGGGAACCCUGAUGCAGCGACGCCGCGUGGGUGAAGGAGUACUUCGGUACGUAAAGCCCUAUCAGCAGGAAAGAAAAUGACGGUACCUGACUAAGAAGCCCCGGCUAACUACGUGCCAGCAGCCGCGGUAAUACGUAGGGGGCAAGCGUUAUCCGGAAUUACUGGGUGUAAAGGGAGCGUAGACGGUGAUGUAAGUCUGGAGUGAAAGGCGGGGGCCCAACCCCCGGACUGCUCUGGAAACUAUGUGACUGGAGUGCAGGAGAGGUGAGCGGAAUUCCUAGUGUAGCGGUGAAAUGCGUAGAUAUUAGGGGGAACACCAGUGGCGAAGGCGGCUUACUGGACUGUAACUGACGUUGAGGCUCGAAAGCGUGGGGAGCAAACAGGAUUAGAUACCCUCGUAC